UACGGGGGGGAGCAAGCGUUGUUCGGAUUUACUGGGCGUAAAGGGCGCGUAGGCGGCCACUGCAAGUCGGUUGUGAAAUCUCCGGGCUUAACCCGGAAAGGUCAAUCGAUACUGCAGGGCUAGAGUGCAGAAGGGGCAACUGGAAUUCUCGGUGUAGCGGUGAAAUGCGUAGAUAUCGAGAGGAACACCUGCGGCGAAGGCGGGUUGCUGGGCUGACACUGACGCUGAAGCGCGAAAGCUAGGGGAGCGAACGGG
rnacentral:rRNA from 1 species